rnacentral:rRNA from 1 species
UACAGAGGGUGCGAGCGUUGUCCGGAAUCACUGGGCGUAAAGGGCGCGUAGGUGGCCCGACAAGUCUGUGGUGAAAGCUCGACGCUCAACGUCGAGUCGGCCAUAGAUACUGUUGGGCUGGAGCACUGUAGAGGCUCAUGGAAUUCCGGGUGUAGCGGUGGAAUGCGUAGAGAUCCGGAAGAACACCGGUGGCGAAGGCGGUGAGCUGGGCAGUAGCUGACACUGAGGCGCGACAGCGUGGGGAGCAACAGG